rnacentral:rRNA from 1 species
AUUGAACGCUGGCGGCAGGCCUAACACAUGCAAGUCGAGCGGAUGAAGGGAGCUUGCUCCUGGAUUCAGCGGCGGACGGGUGUGUAAUGCCUAGGAAUCUGCCUGGUAGUGGGGGAUAACGUCCGGAAACGGGCGCUAAUACCGCAUACGUCCUGAGGGUGAAAGUGGGGGAUCUUCGGACCUCUCGCUAUCAGAUGAUCCUAGGUCGGAUUAGCUAGUUGGUGGGGUAAAUGCCUACCAAGGCGACGAUCCGUAACUGGCCUGAGAGGAUGAUCAGUCAAACGGGAACUGAGACACGGUCCAGACUCCUACGGGAGGAAGCAGUGGGGAAUAUUGGACAAUGGGCGAAAGCAUGAUACAGACAUGCCGCGUGUGUGAAGAAGGUCUUCGGAUUGUAAAGAACUUUAAGUUGGGAGGAAGGGCAGUAAGUUAAUACCUUGCUGUUUUGACGUUACCAACAGAAUAAGCACCGGCUAACUUCGUG